CUUACGUAGUCGAGUUUCAAGAACACCUACCAUACAUUUCCCCCCAUGCAAUGGAAAAUAACCCUCUGACUUCAUGUGUGUUAGGGACUGUUUACCAAGAGAAAUCUCUAAGAUGUGUUGGCUGAUCGCGACAGAGUGCUAUUCCAUAUAAUAAAAAUGGAAGCAAGAAAGCAAUGCCCGUCAUUGCUCCGUGCAGGGGUUCACGUAUACACACACAUGCAUCGUCAUAGCAGCAGCAGCAGCGUCACCGCUACACUACCCCCAACUCCGUGCACCAAAUCACACCUAUACCACAAACAUGGCACGCUAUGCACACUAAUACACAUAGUCCCACAUAGCAUGGACACUCCACAGCCAUUAACAUUAUUACCAUACAAACAUACCACACAGGAUUCUCAUCACACCUCACCCAAAAGGACACACAUACACACACACACACACAAACAAACUUCUUGCUUUAAGAUUCUAUUUCUAUUACUCUGAAGCAUACAUCAAUGACGUGCUCUCCUAAUAACAUUUUUAGGCUAAUGUAUAAUCCAGGAAGCCAGUGUCAUGCGCUCAUAAUAGCUAAGGAGAAUGAAGGAAUCUUAAGUGAUUGUGUGGGGACUGUGCUGCCAGCAGGUAACUGUUGCCUCAGCGAUGUGGCUUUGGAAACAAAAGGCUACACUCUUUAAAUCCAGAACGGCUACUCCCCACGCCACAUAUACACACCCUCAGAUCCACUCCCCCUCACAUCCUGCCGUAAAUCUUUCUGAAGGCUGAGCCUUUACUCCCAGAUAAUGUGUCUGUCUAGGCAGCUUGCAUCAAGUCUUGCUUCGUUAACAGUUUCUCCGGGCUGUCACCUCCCCCCUUCUCCCUGGCCCACAGGAGACAGGCAGGUGAACGAACACAUUUGACCCACAGUUGGAAGUAGCAAAGUGGGCAUUCUUCUGUUGUGACAUCUGCCUGUAAGCUAUUCUUGUGUCCACAGAGUCAAAGUGGAUGUGUGUGUCCCUCAAGGCAGGUGUGUAGGUUAGAGGGGACUCAGAAACCAGUUGGAGGAAGCUCAGGCCCAGAAUUGGUAAAUAGGAGGCCGGAGCCUGCAGGGGGCAGUCUCUGUGCCCCAUUGUGCUGUCUUAGCCAAAAUCAACCCGAUGCCUCAGUAGCCUCUAUGCCUAUCUCAAGAACUGGGAGGAGACAGGAAUGUUCCAAGCAUCAGCAAAGAAUUUGGUUGAAGCUUCCCUUGGCUUUAUUUCUUGGAAAUAACAUCUAAAGGGAUAUAGACUAGAAAUGCUGAGAACCCUAUGGCUUCAGCUUCAACCUUUUUGCUGCGCUUUCCCAAGAUCUGUGUCCAGAAUAAUGAAGGUAUCCCCUUAGGGAGAGCAGCAUGCAUUAGGGCUCUGAGGAACCUGUAAAUGCCAAGAUUAUUCCUGGUGUUUUUCAGGCUUGGGUCCUGCUUCCUGGAGAGAAAGCAUGGGCCAUAUCAAGCAAAUGCAAGGUCACAAAGUAGAGUAGGCUUCAGCUGGCUUUGAACCCACACCCCUCCCUUAACCAGCAGUGGGUUCCUGAAUGCAGCAAAAUGCCCUUAAGACCUCUCAGCCUCACACCUGAGAUGGGGACCGUGAUGGUUCCUGAAGGCAUUCUUUCUACAACCCACCCAACAGCCAGAUUUGGUGAGAUGAUCCAAGUGGAGCAGAUACCAUGGCUCUUCCGUCCUCGCGUGUGAAGAAACGCCAGGACAGCUGCGGCCGUUGUACAUGUCCUCACUGGGGCAGGAUCGGUGUUAGAAAUGAAAACACGGUGGGAGUAGACACAAGAAAGCAGAAACUCCUUCCUGUGCUCCGACUGCUUUUCCUGCUCCCUCCACCUCCAGCCCUUACGUGAAGCACUAUGCGGCCUGCCUUGGUCCAGCUGAAUGGUCGGAUCCUUCUAUGGGUAAGGGCUUUCCGGGACAUUUGCAGAUAUGUCCGACCCUCUUGCUCCCUGCUCAGGACACACGUGGUGUUCCUUUCUUGAUGCUGUGCCUAGGUGACUGCCAAAGUGCAGUUUCAUGCCUCUCUCCCUCCUAUCUCCUGCUUUGUGUUUCGUGGCAUGAAGGACGAAGGAUGAAGGACUUACGGCUAGGCUCAAGCAAGCCCCGCCCCUAAGAACAAACCGCAGAGGGAAGGUCAUCGAGGCACGUUAAGUGACCAUGGCUGUGCCUUACUUGAAAGGAGUUCCUGAGGAGAAUCAUUUGCCCAGCCAGGGACACUCUGAUACUCACCGGAAGACUUUCUAUUCAGUGCAGUGAGUUCCGGUACCAGCAUCUCUCAAAAGCCCCUUGGACGUUCUGAGGUUCAGACAGACCCCAGAGGAUCAGAUGAACGCCUGCUGUCUGGAACUGCAGGCUUGCCUCGAUGCAGGAACCCCGCUAAGUCUGAAGCUCAGCCACAAGGGACUUUUCCCAGUGUGAUGCGCUUAGUUAGGUGGUGGGACAGAGGGGGUCGAGGGGAGGGUAUCAGACAAGGAGGAUAAGCCACAACAAAUGGAGAGGGAAGAGAAUCUCUUUGGUAACAAGGCUGUCCCGGCCAUUCUCAGGCUCCCAAGUGACCUGGGCCUCUCAGGGGUGCCUAUAAAUCAGAUUUCAUAAGCCUGGGCUUGCUUGUGUGUUAUUCAUUACCAUAAAAUAUUUUUAAAGUAAA
rnacentral:sRNA from 1 species